CCUACGGGAGGCAGCAGUGGGGAAUAUUCCACAAUGGGGGAAACCCUGAUGCAGCGACGCCGCGUGAAGGAUGAAGUAUUUCGGUAUGUAAACUUCUAUCAGCAGGGAAGAACAUGACCGUACCUGACUAAGAAGCCCCGGCGAAUUACGUGUCAGCAGCCGCGGUAAUACGUAGGGGGCAAGCGUUCUCCGGAUUUACUGGGUGGAAAGGGAGCGUAGGCGGUAUGGCAAGUCUGAUGUGAAAACCCGGGGCUCAACCCCGGGACUGCAUUGGAAACUGGCGCACUAGAGUGUCGGAGAGGAAAGUGGAAUUCCAAGUGUAGCGGUGAAAUGCGUAGAUAUAAGGAGGAACACCAGUGGCGAAGGCGGCUUGCUGGACGAUGACUGACGUUGAGGCUCGAAAGCGUGGGGAGCAAACAGGAUUAGAUACCCCAGUAGUC
rnacentral:rRNA from 1 species